UCUCUGGUGGCCUAGUGGUUAGAGCGUCCGCCUCAGAUACAGGAGGUCGUAGGUUCAAACCCCGACUAAGUCAUACCAAAGAC